GCAAGGUGAACUGCAUCUUUGCCCUCGGU
rnacentral:piRNA from 1 species